rnacentral:rRNA from 1 species
CCUACGGGAGGCAGCAGUGAGGAAUAUUGGUCAAUGGCCGGGAGGCUGAACCAGCCAAGUCGCGUGAGGGAAGACGGCCCUACGGGUUGUAAACCUCUUUUGUCAGGGAGUAAGGUGCAGGUCGGGUCCUGUUGUGUGUGUACCUGAAGAAAAAGCAUCGGCUAACUCCGUGCCAGCAGCCGCGGUAAUACGGAGGAUCCGAGCGUUAUCCGGAUUUAUUGGGUUUAAAGGGUGCGUAGGUGGAUUGUUAAGUCAGUUGUGAAAGUUUGGGGCUCAACCGUAAAAUUGCAGUUGAAACUGGGAGUCUUGAGUACAGUAGAGGUAGGCGGAAUGCGUGGUGUAGCGGUGAAAUGCUUAGAUAUCACGAAGAACUCCGAUUGCGAAGGCAGCUCGCUGGGCUGCAACUGACGCUGAGGCACGAAAGUGUGGGUAUCAAACAGGAUUAGAUACCCGAGUAGUC